AUUGAACGCUGGCGGCAUGCUUUACACAUGCAAGUCGAACGGCAGCGCGGGCUUCGGCCUGGCGGCGAGUGGCGAACGGGUGAGUAAUGCAUCGGAACGUGCCCAGUAUUGGGGGAUAGCCCGGCGAAAGCCGGAUUAAUACCGCAUACGACCUGAGGGUGAAAGCGGGGGACCGAAAGGCCUCGCGCUAUUGGAGCGGCCGAUGUCGGAUUAGCUAGUUGGUGGGGUAAAGGCUUACCAAGGCGACGAUCCGUAGCUGGUCUGAGAGGACGACCAGCCACACUGGGACUGAGACACGGCCCAGACUCCUACGGGAGGCAGCAGUGGGGAAUUUUGGACAAUGGGGGCAACCCUGAUCCAGCUAUGCCGCGUGCGGGAAGAAGGCCUUCGGGUUGUAAACCGCUUUUAUUCGGGAAGAACUCCUCUGGGCUAAUACCCCGGGGGGAUGACGGUACCGGAAGAAUAAGCACCGGCUAACUACGUG
rnacentral:rRNA from 1 species